rnacentral:rRNA from 1 species
UACGUAGGGGGCAAGCGUUGUCCGGAAUCAUUGGGCGUAAAGCGCGCGUAGGCGGCCCGGUAAGUCCGUUGUGAAAGUCAAAGGCUCAACCUUUGAACGCCGAUGGAUACUGCCGGGCUAGAGUCCGGGAGAGGCGAGUGGAAUUCCUGGUGUAGCGGUGGAAUGCGCAGAUAUCAGGAGGAACACCAAUAGCGAAGGCAGCUCGCUGGGACGGUACUGACGCUGAGGCGCGAAAGCGUGGGGAGCGAACAGG